AAAGUACUUCCUUCGUUCCGAAUUACUUGUCGCGGGUAUGGAUGUAUCUAGAUGUAUUUUAUUUCUAGAUAUAUCCAUUUCUGCGUCGAGUAAUUUGGAACGAGGGAAAUAAAUA
rnacentral:pre_miRNA from 1 species